rnacentral:tRNA from 1 species
GCGUGUGUAGCUCAACUGGCAGAGCACUGGUCUCCAAAACCAGCGGUUGAGGGUUCGACUCCUUCCGCGCGCG